rnacentral:rRNA from 1 species
UACGAAGGGUGCUAGCGUUGUUCGGAAUUACUGGGCGUAAAGCGCACGUAGGCGGAUACUUAAGUCAGGGGUGAAAUCCCGGGGCUCAACCCCGGAACUGCCUUUGAUACUGGGUAUCUCGAGUCCGGAAGAGGUGAGUGGAAUUCCGAGUGUAGAGGUGAAAUUCGUAGAUAUUCGGAGGAACACCAGUGGCGAAGGCGGCUCACUGGUCCGGUACUGACGCUGAGGUGCGAAAGCGUGGGGAGCAAACAGG